CCCCAUUGCAAGUCGAGCGAACAGAGAAGGAGCUUGCUCCUUUGACGUUAGCGGCGGACGGGUGAUAAGUGGGCAACCUACCUUAUAGUUUGGGAUAACUCCGGGAAACCGGGGCUAAUACCGAAUAAUCUGUUUCACCUCAUGGUGAAAUAUUGAAAGACGGUUUCGGCUGUCGCUAUAGGAUGGGCCCGCGGCGCAUUAGCUAGUUGGUGAGGUAACGGCUCACCAAGGCGACGAUGCGUAGCCGACCUGAGAGGGUGAUCGGCCACACUGGGACUGAGACACGGCCCAGACUCCUACGGGAGGCAGCAGUAGGGAAUCUUCCACAAUGGGCGAAAGCCUGAUGGAGCAACGCCGCGUGAGUGAAGAAGGAUUUCGGUUCGUAAAACUCUGUUGUAAGGGAAGAACAAGUACAGUAGUAACUGGCUGUACCUUGACGGUACCUUAUUAGAAAGCCACGGCUAACUACGUGCCAGCAGCCGCGGUAAUACGUAGGUGGCAAGCGUUGUCCGGAAUUAUUGGGCGUAAAGCGCGCGCAGGUGGUUUCUUAAGUCUGAUGUGAAAGCCCACGGCUCAACCGUGGAGGGUCAUUGGAAACUGGGAGACUUGAGUGCAGAAGAGGAUAGUGGAAUUCCAAGUGUAGCGGUGAAAUGCGUAGAGAUUUGGAGGAACACCAGUGGCGAAGGCGACUAUCUGGUCUGUAACUGACACUGAGGCGCGAAAGCGUGGGGAGCAAACAGGAUUAGAUACCCUGGUAGUCCACGCCGUAAACGAUGAGUGCUAAGUGUUAGGGGGUUUCCGCCCCUUAGUGCUGCAGCUAACGCAUUAAGCACUCCGCCUGGGGAGUACGGUCGCAAGACUGAAACUCAAAGGAAUUGACGGGGGCCCGCACAACGGUGGAGCAUGUUGGUUUAAUUCGAAGCAACGCGAAGAACCUUACCAGGUCUUGACAUCCCCGUUGACCUGUAGAGAUAUGGUUUCCCCUUCGGGGGCAACGGUGACAGUGGUGCAUGGUUGUCGUCAGCCUCUGUCGUGAGAUGUUGGGUUUAAGUUCCCGCAACGAGCGCAACCCUGAAUCUUAAGUUGCCAUCA
rnacentral:rRNA from 1 species